rnacentral:rRNA from 1 species
GAUGAACGCUGGCGGCGUGCCUAAUACAUGCAAGUCGAGCGAACAGAUGAGGAGCUUGCUCCUCUGACGUUAGCGGCGGACGGGUGAGUAACACGUGGAUAACCUACCUAUAAGACUGGGAUAACUUCGGGAAACCGGAGCUAAUACCGGAUAAUAUAUUGAACCGCAUGGUUCAAUAGUGAAAGACGGUUUUGCUGUCCCUUAUAGAUGGAUCCGUGCCGCAUUAGCUAGUUGGUAAGGUAACGGCUUACCAAGGCAACGAUGCGUAGCCGACCUGAGAGGGUGAUCGGCCACACUGGAACUGAGACACGGUCCAGACUCCUACGGGAGGCAGCAGUAGGGAAUUUUCCGCAAUGGGCGAAAGCCUGACGGAGCAACGCCGCGUGAGUGAUGAAGGUCUUCGGAUCGUAAAACGCUGUUAUUAGGGAAGAACAAAUGUGUAAGUAACUAUGCACGUCUUGACGGUACCUAAUCAGAAAGCCACGGCUAACUACGUG